UUACCGGCUUGACAUGAAGAGUCCCUUCGGCACAGGUGCUGCAUGGCUGUCGUCAGCUCGUGUCGUGAGAUGUUGGGUUAAGUCCCGCAACGAGCGCAACCCUGUCUUAGUUACCAGCGGACGGGACUCUAAGAGACUGCCGGUGACAACCGGAGGAAGGUGGGGAUGACGUCAAGUCCUCAUGGCCCUUAUGCCGGGCUACACACGUAAUACAAUGGCAUACAAGAGGCACUGUGAAGCAAGCAAUCUCAAAAUGAUCCCAGUUCGGAUAGUAGUCUGCAACUCGACUACUUGAAGGUGGAAUCGCUAGUAAUCGCAAUCAGCACGUGCGGUGAAUACGUUCUCGGGCCUUGUACACACCGCCCGUCACACCACCCGAGUUGAUGACCGAA
rnacentral:rRNA from 1 species